UACGGGGGGGGUAAGCGUUGUUCGGAAUUACUGGGCGUAAAGGGCUCGUAGGCGGCCAACUAAGUCAGACGUGAAAUCCCUCAGCUUAACUGGGGAACUGCGUCUGAUACUGGAUGGCUUGGAUUCGGGAGAGGAAUGCGGAAUUCCAGGUGUAGCGGUGAAAUGCGUAGAUAUCUGGAGGAACACCGGUGGCGAAGGCGGCAUCCUGGACCGGCAUUGACGCUGAUGAGCGAAAGCCAGGGGAGCAAACGGG
rnacentral:rRNA from 1 species